rnacentral:rRNA from 1 species
GAUGGACGCUGGCGGUAUGCUUAACACAUGCAAGUCGAACGGACUCUUCGGAGUUAGUGGCGGACGGGUGAGUAACGCGUGAGAAUCCGUCUUCAGGUCGGGGACAACAGUUAGAAAUGACUGCUAAUACCGGAUAUGCCUUAUGGUGAAAGAUUUAUUGCCUGAAAGAGAGCUCGCGUCAGAUUAGCUAGUAGGUGGUGUAAGAGACUACCUAGGCGACGAUCUGUAGCUGGUCUGAGAGGACGAUCAGCCACACUGGAACUGAGACACGGUCCAGACUCCUACGGGAGGCAGCAGUGGGGAAUUUUCCGCAAUGGGCGAAAGCCUGACGGAGCAAUACCGCGUGAGGGACGAAGGCUUUUGGGUCGUAAACCUCUUUUACUAGGGAAGAUUUCAGGACGGUACCUAAUGAAUAAGCAUCGGCUAACUCUGUGCCAGCAGCCGCGGUAAU